rnacentral:piRNA from 1 species
UGCCAAUUCCUUGUGUGAAAUAGUACCUGU